AUCNGGCUACCAUGCAAGUCGAGGGGCAGCAUUUCAGUUUGCUUGCAAACUGGAGAUGGCGACCGGCGCACGGGUGAGUAACACGCUAUCCAACCUGCCGAUAACUCGGGGAUAGCCUUUCGAAAGAAAGAUUAAUACCCGAUGGUAUAAUCAGACCGCAUGGUCUUAUUAUUAAAGAAUUUCGGUUAUCGAUGGGGAUGCGUUCCAUUAGGCAGUUGGUGAGGUAACGGCUCACCAAACCUUCGAUGGAUAGGGGUUCUGAGAGGAAGGUCCCCCACAUUGGAACUGAGACACGGUCCAAACUCNUACGGGAGGCAGCAGUGAGGAAUAUUGGUCAAUGGGCGCAGGCCUGAACCAGCCAAGUAGCGUGAAGGAUGACUGCCCUAUGGGUUGUAAACUUCUUUUAUAUGGGAAUAAAGUUUUCCACGUGUGGAAUUUUGUAUGUACCAUAUGAAUAAGGAUCGGCUAACUCCGUGCCAGCAGCCGCGGUAAUACGGAGGAUCCGAGCGUUAUCCGGAUUUAUUGGGGUUUAAAGGGAGCGUAGGUGGACAGUUAAGUCAGUUGUGAAAGUUUGCGGCUCAACCGUAAAAAAUUGCAGUUGAUACUGGCUGUCUUGAGUACAGUAGAGGUGGGCGGAAUUCGUGGUGUAGCGGUGAAAUGCUUAGAUAUCACGAAGAACUCCGAUUGCGAAGGCAGCUCACUGGACUGCAACUGACACUGAUGCUCGAAAGUGUGGGUAUCAAACAGGAUUAGAUACCCUGGUAGUCCACACAGUAAACGAUGAAUACUCGCUGUUUGCGAUAUACAGUAAGCGGNCCAAGCGAAAGCAUUAAGUAUUCCACCUGGGGAAGUACGCCGGCAACGGUGAAACUCAAAGGAAUUGACGGGGGCCCGCACAAGCGGAGGAACAUGUGGUUUAAUUCGAUGAUACGCGAGGAACCUUACCCGGGCUUAAAUUGCAUUUGAAUAAUUUGGAAACAGNUUAGCCGNAAGGCAAAUGUGAAGGUGCUGCAUGGUUGUCGUCAGCUCGUGCCGUGAGGUGUCGGCUUAAGUGCCAUAACGAGCGCAACCCUUAUCUUUAGUUACUAACAGGUCAUGCUGAGGACUCUAGAGAGACUGCCGUCGUAAGAUGUGAGGAAGGUGGGGAUGACGUCAAAUCAGCACGGCCCUUACGUCCGGGGCUACACACGUGUUACAAUGGGGGGUACAGAAGGCAGCUACCUGGUGACAGGAUGCUAAUCCCAAAAGCCUCUCUCAGUUCGGAUCGAAGUCUGCAACCCGACUUCGUGAAGCUGGAUUCGCUAGUAAUCGCGCAUCAGCCAUGGCGCGGUGAAUACGUUCCCGGGCCUUGUACACACCGCCCGUCAAGCCAUGAAAGCCGGGGGUACCUGAAGUACGUAACCGCAAGAGCUCCUAG
rnacentral:rRNA from 1 species